rnacentral:rRNA from 1 species
GAUGAACGCUGGCGGCGUGCCUAAUACAUGCAAGUCGAGCGAACAGACGAGGAGCUUGCUCCUCUGACGUUAGCGGCGGACGGGUGAGUAACACGUGGAUAACCUACCUAUAAGACUGGGAUAACUUCGGGAAACCGGAGCUAAUACCGGAUAAUAUAUUGAACCGCAUGGUUCAAUAGUGAAAGACGAUUUUGCUGUCACUUAUAGAUGGAUCCGCGCCGCAUUAGCUAGUUGGUAAGGUAACGGCUUACCAAGGCAACGAUGCGUAGCCGACCUGAGAGGGUGAUCGGCCACACUGGAACUGAGACACGGUCCAGACUCCUACGGGAGGCAGCAGUAGGGAAUCUUCCGCAAUGGGCGAAAGCCUGACGGAGCAACGCCGCGUGAGUGAUGAAGGUCUUCGGAUCGUAAAACUCUGUUAUUAGGGAAGAACAAAUGUGUAAGCAACUAUGCACGUCUUGACGGUACCUAAUCAGAAAGCCACGGCUAACUACGUGCCAGCAGCCGCAGUAA